AAACUGCACCACCCGCAACCGCAGGGCUCUCCAGAAGGUGGUGCGGUCUGCCCAAAGCAUCACCGGGCACACACUGCCUGCCCUCCAGGAAACCUAUAGCACCCGAUGUCACAGAAAGGCCAAAAAGAUCAUUAAGGACAUCAACCACCCGAGCCACGGCCUGUUCACCCCGUUAUCAUCCAGAAGGAAAGGUACCAAAAGGGGGUUGGCAUCAAUCAGAGAGGAGCUGUCAGUGGUGCAGAAGUUCCAGUCCUACACCCAAGAUGCCGACCAGAACUACGACUUUGCCAGCAACAGUGUCGUCCAGCAUCUUGAGCCCGGCGAUGAGAUCUACAUCAAGCUGGACCGGGGAUAAGGCAAGAAGUACAGCACCUUCUCCGGCUUCAUAGUCUACGCCGAUGAACAGAUCAUCUAUUUUACGCUAGGCUAUUCACUUCAUCUGCUAUAUUCUCUCGUUUAGAUUGGUUAACCCGCUGUCGUUUAGAAGACAGGUGGUUAAAGAGAAACUGGGGGACCUUGACACAGAAGUGAACCUUUAAAUUUACACUAUAAUGGAUGUUUAGUUUUACGAGUAAAAAUCU
rnacentral:lncRNA from 1 species